rnacentral:rRNA from 1 species
GCCGCAGUAUUUUAACUGUGCAAAGGUAGCAUGAUCAUUUGCCUUUUAAUUAGAGGCUUGUAUGAAUGGUCGGAUGAGAGAUUAACUUUCUUUAUUUUAUUUUAUAAAACUUUAUUUGUUAGUUAAAAAGCUAACAUAUUUUUAUUAGACGAGAAGACCCUAUAGAACUUUAUAUUUGUUUAUUUUAUUUAUUUUUAGUUUAUUUUUUUUAAUAUUUAUAUGUAUUUUGUUGGGGUGACAAAUAAAUUUAUUUAACUUUAUUUUAUUUUAUAUCAUUGAUUUAUGUUUUUUUGAUCCAUUAUUAUGAUUAAAAUUUUAAGUUACCUUACGGAUAACAGCGUAAUUUUAUUGGAGAGUUCUUAUUUAUAAUAAAGUUUGCGACCUCGAUGUUGGAUUAAA